GACGAACGCUGGCGGCGUGCUUAACACAUGCAAGUCGAACGGAAAGGCCCUGCUUUUGUGGGGUGCUAGAGUGGCGAACGUGUGAGUAACACGUGAGUAACCUGCCCUUGACUUUGGGAUAACUUCAGGAAACUGGGGCUAAUACCGGAUAGGAGCUCCUGCUGCAUGGUGGGGGUUGGAAAGUUUCGGCGGUUGGGGAUGGUCUCGCGGCUUAUCAGCUUGUUGGGUGGGUAGUGUUUUACCAAGGCUUUGCCGGGUAGCCGGCCUGAGAGGGUGACCGGCCACAUUGGGACUGAGAUACGGCCCAGACUCCUACGGGAGGCAGCAGUGGGGAAUAUUGCACUAUGGGCUGAAGCCUGAUGCAGCAACGCCGCGUGCGGUAUGACGGCCUUCAGGUUGUAAACCGCUUUCGCCUGUGACGAAGCGUGAAUGACGGUAAUGGGUAAAGAAGCACCGGCUAACUACGUG
rnacentral:rRNA from 1 species